GCGGCCCGCGCUCUACAGGGCUACGGACUGCAGCCAGCCGUGGCCCAGGGCGCUGCGCGGGACGCUGGUGGCCUCGCUGCCCGUGGGUCUGGACUUUGUGUGCCUGCAGGAGGUAUUCGAUCUGCGCAGGGCUCGUCGCUUGGUGAAUCGCCUGGCGCCCAACCUGGGCCCGUUGCUGUACGACGUGGGCACGCUCGGCCUACAGCCCGGGCGGCACCUCAAGCUGCUGGACAGCGGGCUGCUGCUGGCCUCGCGCUACCCGCUGCUGCGCGCCACCUUCCGUUGCUUCCCCCACGCACGUGGCGAGGACGCGCUGGCCUCCAAGGGACUACCGUCCGCACAGGCGAGGCUGGGCAGCCUGGACGGGCGCCGCAUCGUGGGAUUCCUGCACUGCACGCAUUUGCAAGUACUGGCUGAGGACGGGCCCUUGCGCAGCAAACAGCUGACGCCGCUGCUGGACUGGGCCGAGAAGUUUGGGGCCGAGAAGUUUGAGGCCGACAGAGAACAAAGUGGAGAGGUCGUGGCUUUCAGCGUGCUCCUGGGCGACCUAAACUUCGAUAACUGCUCGAAAGGUCCAGCAGGAGAGGAGGGCGAGGAGGGGCGGAGCCAGGAGGCCCGGCCCCGCCCACCGCGCGCCCGCCUCUCUCUGCAGACCACCGGCUGGAGCAGGAGCACGAGCUUUUCCGCUGUUUCCAGGAUCCCUGCCGGCUGGGCACGCGCCAAAAGCAGCCCUGGGCCCUGGGGACCGCGCUGAGCACCUCCGUGCUCCACCAGUCCGUGGCCUCCUCCCCCAAGAUGCCGAGGAGGUGAGUGGCGACCUGGAUGUAGGCACUGCCCGCCCGAAGCGCGCAGAGGGGCCCUGGCCUUGAUGACACCGUCCCCCUACCAGGACCCUGGAGCAGGAGAAAGGGCGCCACCUCUACCUGGCCGGCCUUCCCGGCAGAAGCCGCCGAGCUAAGCCCUGGAGAGGUCGGCGCCUGGACUACAUCACGUACCGCGGAGUUCCCGGGUGGCUGGGCCUGCGGCACUGGGACGACCCUCAACCUGACUCCCGCCCCCAGGAGGUGGAGCAGGUGACGUUCAGUACCGCCCUGGAGGGGCUCACGGACCACCUGGCAGUGGGCCUGCAGCUCCGAGUUUCAGUGUCCUCCUAAGGCAAGCACAGAUGAGGGGCGCGCGGCUGGCGCGCACAGACACGACUCGGAGCACGAACUAGGCGCGGUAGCCGCGUCCCCAGAACCGGGAGACUUAAGGCAUCUUUAUUGCGGGAUCCUCACACGGCCUCCUGGGCCCGGCGAUACUCAUAGACGCUGCCGUGCUCGGGAAAGGCCAGUGCUUGCGGGGGCGACCCCGGCGAUGGGGCGGGGUCCUCCGGGUCCCCAUAGCCACCGCCGCCGGGUGUGUGGAGACAGAACACAUCCUGUUGGCGCGGGGGGGGGGGGAGGCGGGCUCAGUGCAGGCGUGGCCC
rnacentral:sRNA from 1 species